GACGAACGCUGGCGGCGGGCCUAAUACAUGCAAGUAGGACGCAGUUGCGAACGGGUGAGUAACGAGUAGGGAAAUACAUAUGAGAGGGGGAUAACAAUUGGAAACGAUAGCUAAUACCGCAUACUAGUAGAUGGACCUGCGUUGUAUUAGAUAGUAGGUAGGGUAAUGGCCUACCUAGGCAACGAUACAUGACCGGCCUGAGAGUGUGAUCGGCCAAACUUGGACUGAGACACGGCCCAGGCCCCCACGGGAGGCAGCAGUAUGGAAUCUUCGGCAAUGGGGGGAACCCUGACCGAGACCCGCCGCGUGAGUGAAGAAGGUCUUCGGAUCGUAAAGCUCUUUUGUUAAGGAAGCGGUACUUAACCAGAAAGGGACGGCUAACUACGUGCCAGCAGCCGCGGUAAUUC
rnacentral:rRNA from 1 species